GGUUAAGCGACUAAGCGUACACGGUGGAUGCCCUGGCAGUCAGAGGCGAUGAAGGACGUGCUAAUCUGCGAUAAGCGUCGGUGAGGUGAUAUGAACCGUUAUAACCGGCGAUUUCCGAAUGGGGAAACCCAGUGUGUUUCGACACACUAUCAUUAACUGAAUCCAUAGGUUAAUGAGGCGAACCGGGGGAACUGAAACAUCUAAGUACCCCGAGGAAAAGAAAUCAACCGAGAUUCCCCCAGUAGCGGCGAGCGAACGGGGAGGAGCCCAGAGCCUGAAUCAGUGUGUGUGUUAGUGGAAGCGUCUGGAAAGGCGCGCGAUACAGGGUGACAGCCCCGUACACAAAAAUGCACAUAUUGUGAGCUCGAUGAGUAGGGCGGGACACGUGGUAUCCUGUCUGAAUAUGGGGGGACCAUCCUCCAAGGCUAAAUACUCCUGACUGACCGAUAGUGAACCAGUACCGUGAGGGAAAGGCGAAAAGAACCCCGGCGAGGGGAGUGAAAAAGAACCUGAAACCGUGUACGUACAAGCAGUGGGAGCCUCUUAAUGGGGUGACUGCGUACCUUUUGUAUAAUGGGUCAGCGACUUAUAUUCUGUAGCAAGGUUAACCGAAUAGGGGAGCCGAAGGGAAACCGAGUCUUAACUGGGCGUUAAGUUGCAGGGUAUAGACCCGAAACCCGGUGAUCUAGCCAUGGGCAGGUUGAAGGUUGGGUAACACUAACUGGAGGACCGAACCGACUAAUGUUGAAAAAUUAGCGGAUGACUUGUGGCUGGGGGUGAAAGGCCAAUCAAACCGGGAGAUAGCUGGUUCUCCCCGAAAGCUAUUUAGGUAGCGCCUCGUGAAUUCAUCUCCGGGGGUAGAGCACUGUUUCGGCAAGGGGGUCAUCCCGACUUACCAACCCGAUGCAAACUGCGAAUACCGGAGAAUGUUAUCACGGGAGACACACGGCGGGUGCUAACGUCCGUCGUGAAGAGGGAAACAACCCAGACCGCCAGCUAAGGUCCCAAAGUCAUGGUUAAGUGGGAAACGAUGUGGGAAGGCCCAGACAGCCAGGAUGUUGGCUUAGAAGCAGCCAUCAUUUAAAGAAAGCGUAAUAGCUCACUGGUCGAGUCGGCCUGCGCGGAAGAUGUAACGGGGCUAAACCAUGCACCGAAGCUGCGGCAGCGACACUAUGUGUUGUUGGGUAGGGGAGCGUUCUGUAAGCCUGUGAAGGUGUACUGUGAGGUAUGCUGGAGGUAUCAGAAGUGCGAAUGCUGACAUAAGUAACGAUAAAGCGGGUGAAAAGCCCGCUCGCCGGAAGACCAAGGGUUCCUGUCCAACGUUAAUCGGGGCAGGGUGAGUCGACCCCUAAGGCGAGGCCGAAAGGCGUAGUCGAUGGGAAACAGGUUAAUAUUCCUGUACUUGGUGUUACUGCGAAGGGGGGACGGAGAAGGCUAUGUUGGCCGGGCGACGGUUGUCCCGGUUUAAGCGUGUAGGCUGGUUUUCCAGGCAAAUCCGGAAAAUCAAGGCUGAGGCGUGAUGACGAGGCACUACGGUGCUGAAGCGACAAAUGCCCUGCUUCCAGGAAAAGCCUCUAAGCAUCAGGUAACAUCAAAUCGUACCCCAAACCGACACAGGUGGUCAGGUAGAGAAUACCAAGGCGCUUGAGAGAACUCGGGUGAAGGAACUAGGCAAAAUGGUGCCGUAACUUCGGGAGAAGGCACGCUGAUAUGUAGGUGAAGCGACUUGCUCGUGGAGCUGAAAUCAGUCGAAGAUACCAGCUGGCUGCAACUGUUUAUUAAAAACACAGCACUGUGCAAACACGAAAGUGGACGUAUACGGUGUGACGCCUGCCCGGUGCCGGAAGGUUAAUUGAUGGGGUUAGCGGUAACGCGAAGCUCUUGAUCGAAGCCCCGGUAAACGGCGGCCGUAACUAUAACGGUCCUAAGGUAGCGAAAUUCCUUGUCGGGUAAGUUCCGACCUGCACGAAUGGCGUAAUGAUGGCCAGGCUGUCUCCACCCGAGACUCAGUGAAAUUGAACUCGCUGUGAAGAUGCAGUGUACCCGCGGCAAGACGGAAAGACCCCGUGAACCUUUACUAUAGCUUGACACUGAACAUUGAGCCUUGAUGUGUAGGAUAGGUGGGAGGCUUUGAAGUGUGGACGCCAGUCUGCAUGGAGCCGACCUUGAAAUACCACCCUUUAAUGUUUGAUGUUCUAACGUGGGCCCCUUACCGGGGUUGCGGACAGUGUCUGGUGGGUAGUUUGACUGGGGCGGUCUCCUCCUAAAGAGUAACGGAGGAGCACGAAGGUUGGCUAAUCCUGGUCGGACAUCAGGAGGUUAGUGCA
rnacentral:rRNA from 1 species